CCUACGGGAGGCAGCAGUGGGGAAUAUUGCACAAUGGGGGAAACCCUGAUGCAGCGACGCCGCGUGAGUGAUGAAGUAUUUCGGUAUGUAAAGCUCUAUCAGCAGGGAAGAUAAUGACGGUACCUGACUAAGAAGCACCGGCUAAAUACGUGCCAGCAGCCGCGGUAAUACGUAUGGUGCAAGCGUUAUCCGGAUUUACUGGGUGUAAAGGGUGCGUAGGUGGUGAGACAAGUCUGAAGUGAAAAUCCGGGGCUUAACCCCGGAACUGCUUUGGAAACUGCCUGACUAGAGUACAGGAGAGGUAAGUGGAAUUCCUAGUGUAGCGGUGAAAUGCGUAGAUAUUAGGAGGAACACCAGUGGCGAAGGCGACUUACUGGACUGCUACUGACACUGAGGCACGAAAGCGUGGGGAGCAAACAGGAUUAGAUACCCCAGUAGU
rnacentral:rRNA from 1 species